rnacentral:lncRNA from 1 species
ACUGCUGCAAUAGCCAUAGCAGACGUGCUCACAUCAUGGCCCUGUCAGACUCUAAUGAAUCUGCAAAUUCUGCU